rnacentral:rRNA from 1 species
CUCCCCAUGGCGAAAGCCUGUCACACGCCGCGUGAGGAGAAGGCCUUCGGGUGUAAACUCUUCGGGAGACAUGACCCCACUGGCCCGCUCCGCCAGACACGGUUAUACAUGCCAGCAGCCGCGUAUAA